rnacentral:rRNA from 1 species
AGAGUUUGAUCCUGGCUCAGAACGAACGCUGGCGGCGUGGCUAAGACAUGCAAGUCGAACGAUCUCUUCGGAGAUAGUGGCGAAAGGAUGAGUAAUGGAUAGGUAACGUACCUUGUGUUCCGGGAUAGCGUCUGAAGCUUGCUUCUUCCGAAAGGGGCAGUAAUACCGGAUUAUAUAGUAUCUUGCAGGAGAUAUUAUCAAAGAUUUAUCGACACAAGAGCGGCCUAUUCCCUAUCAGUUUGUUGGUGAGGUAACGGCUCACCAAGACAACGACGGGUAGCGGGACUGAGAGGUUGGCCCGCCAUAUCGGGACUGAGACACUGCCCGGACCUCCACGGAGGGCUGCAGUAACGAAUAUUGGGCAAUGGGCGAAAGCCUGACCCAGCGACGCCGCGUGCAGGAUGAAUCCCCUCGGGGUGUAAACUGCUGUCAGGGAUACGUAAGUGCGCCUUGUGCGCAUUGAACUAGCCCAAAGGAAGUCACGGCUAACUUCGUGCCAGCAGCCGCGGUAAUACGAAGGUGGCUAGCGUUGUUCGGAAUCACUGGGCUUAAAGCGUGCGUAGGCGGAUUAUCAAGUGUCCUUUGAAAUCCCACGGCUCAACCGUGGAACUGGGGGGCAAACUGGUAGUCUUGAGGCAGUUAGGGGUGGGUGGAACUCUUGGUGGAGCGGUGGAAUGCGUAGAUAUCAAGAGGAACGCCAGAGGUGAAAACGACCCACUGGGACUGUCCUGACGCUGAGGUACGAAAGCGUGGGUAGCGAACGGGAUUAGAUACCCCGGUAGUCCACGCUGUAAACGAUGUGUACUAAACCAUGGUGCUCUGACUGCAUCGUGGUUGUAGCAAAAGUAUUAAGUACACCGCCUGGGGAGUACGGUCGCAAGGCUAAAACUCAAAGGAAUUGACGGGGGCUCACACAAGCGGUGGAGCAUGUGGAUUAAUUCGAUGCAACGCGCAGAACCUUACCUGGGUUUGACAUGUUUGGAUGUCUUACCGGAAACGGAUAAGACUGCCUCCUUCGGGAGGUGAAACUUACACAGGUGCUGCAUGGCUGUCGUCAGCUCGUGUCGUGAGAUGUUGGGUUAAGUCCUUAAACGAGCGAAACCCUUACCGUUAGUUACCAUCAGGUUAUGCUGGGGACUCUAGCGGGACUGCCGGUGUUAAACCGGAGGAAGGUGGGGAUGACGUCAAGUCCUCAUGGCCUUUAUGCCCAGGGCUUCACACGUGCUACAAUGGUAAUGACAGAGCGAUGCGAUACCGCGAGGUGGAGCAAAUCGCAUAAACAUUGCCUCAGUUCGGAUUGCAGGCUGACAACUCGCCUGCAUGAAGUUGGAAUCGCUAGUAAUCGCGUAUCAGCUAUGACGCGGUGAAUAUGUUCCUGAGCCUUGUACACACCGCCCGUCAAGUCACGGAAAUCGGGAGCACCCGAAGUCGGAUUGUUAACCAGCAAUGGAGACGUCUGCCUACGGUGAGUUCGGUAACUGGGACUAAGUCGUAACAAGGUAGCCGUAG